rnacentral:rRNA from 1 species
GACGAACGCUGGAGGCGUGCUUAACACAUGCAAGUCGAACGAUGAAAUGGAGCUUGCUCCAUGGAUUAGUGGCGAACGGGUGAGUAACACGUGAAUAACCUGCCCUUAAUUUUGGAAUAACCCAGGGAAACCUGGGCUAAUACCGGAUAAGUAAACCUGUGGCAUCACAUGGUUUUGGAAAGUUUUUCGAAUAAGGAUGGAUUCGCGGCCUAUCAGCUUGUUGGUGAGGUAAUGGCUCACCAAGGCGACGACGGGUAGCCGGCCUGAGAGGGUGAACGGCCACACUGGGACUGAGACACGGCCCAGACUCCUACGGGAGGCAGCAGUGGGGAAUAUUGCGCAAUGGACGAAAGUCUGACGCAGCGACGCCUCGUGAGGGACGAAGGUCUUCGGAUUGUAAACCUCUUUCAGCAGGGACGAAGCGAAAGUGACGGUACCUGCAGAAGAAGCACCGACUAACUAUGUGCCAGCAGCCGCCGUAA